rnacentral:rRNA from 1 species
UACGUAGGGACCGAGCGUUGUCCGGAAUCAUUGGGCGUAAAGAGCGUGUAGGCGGCCACUUAAGUCCUGCGUGAAAUCUUGCGGCUCAACCGCAAGCGGUCGUGGGAAACUGGGUGGCUAGAGUGCGGGAGAGGAGAGUGGAAUUUCCGGUGUAGCGGUGAAAUGCGUAGAUAUCGGAAGGAACAUCAGUGGCGAAAGCGGCUUCCUGGUCCAGCACCGACGUUCAGGCACGAAAGCGUGGGGAGCAAACAGG